UGAUGAUUAUUAUCUUACCUACAUUAUUUGAACGAGAAGUCGUGUAACCAACCUCAAACUGAUCC
rnacentral:snoRNA from 2 species